AAGGUUGGGGGGGGUGCCUAAUACUUGCACGUCGAGCGGACAGAAGGGAGCUUGCUCCCGGAUGUUAGCGGCGGACGGGUGAGUAACACGUGGGUAACCUGCCUGUAAGACUGGGAUAACUCCGGGAAACCGGAGCUAAUACCGGAUAGUUCCUUGAACCGCAUGGUUCAAGGAUGAAAGACGGUUUCGGCUGUCACUUACAGAUGGACCCGCGGCGCAUUAGCUAGUUGGUGAGGUAACGGCUCACCAAGGCGACGAUGCGUAGCCGACCUGAGAGGGUGAUCGGCCACACUGGGACUGAGACACGGCCCAAACUCCUACGGGAGGCAGCAGUAGGGAAUCUUCCGCAAUGGACGAAAGUCUGACGGAGCAACCCCGCGUGAGUGAUGAAGGUUUUCGGAUCGUAAAGCUCUGUUGUUUGGGGAAAACAAAUGCAAAAAAAAAUGUUUUUUCCUUUUGGGGGCACAAACCAAAAACCCCGGCUAACUACGGCCAGCAGCCGCGGUAAUACGUAGGGGGAAGCGUUGUCCGGAAUUAUUGGGCGUAAAGGGGUCCCAGGGGGUUCUUAAGUUUGAUGGAAACCCCCGGCCAA
rnacentral:rRNA from 1 species